ensembl:lncRNA
UUUUCUCUUUCUUUCCCAGAGAAAGACAGUGAAGAGAUGGGUGAGUCUCCCCUCCCAAAAUAAAAACGUUGGGGUUCUCCUGUGGGAGCUGUGGAUGAGAUGUUCCUCUCAUCACGCACUGUUUCUACUUUUCCUUUGCAGGUUCUGGCAUUGCAGAUCUGAAGGAACUGGCUGCAAAAUUGAAGGAAUAUAUUGCAGAGAAUCGUGAGUCUCCCCUCCGAAAUUAUAAAUGCUGGGGAAUUCUUGUGGGAGCUGUGGGAUGAGCUCUUCCUCUCAUCAUGCACUGUUUCUGCUUUUCCUUUGCAGAGAGAAGGAAUGUACCGUUGAGUGAGUCUCUCUUCCCAAACCAAACAGAUUUGGGGUCUUCCCAUGGGAUCAGCCAUGGGAUGAUAAUCGGACCCUUCUCAUCAUGCGUUUCUGAUUGGUUCCUCUUGCAGAUAAUAUAGCUGCCAAACUGGGUGAGUCCCCCCUCCCAAAUUACAUAAAAAAUGGGGUCUGCCUGUGUGAGCUGUGGGAUGAGAUGUUCCUCCCGUCAUGUGCUGCUUUUCUCUUCCUUUUCCAGAACAUCAAACUAAAGAAUUGGGUGAGUCUUCUUUCCCCAACCAAAGAAAUACGGGCUUCCCAUGGGAUGACAAGCUGUGCCACCUCAUCAUGCCCUGUUUUUUCUGUCCUUUUUGCAGACAAACAGCAUUCACAGUUCUGUAAGUUGCAGUCACUAAACUGAAGGAAUGUGGGGUCUUCCCAAAGUCCUGCAUAUGGGAUGAAAAAUCCCCUCUGACCAUGCACUGCUUUUCUCUUUCUAUUCCAGACAGACACUUUCAGCGUAUGGAUUUAAGUGCUGUAAACCAGAGUAAGUCUCCCUCCCUGCACAGAAGGAACUUCCAGUUUUCCCAUGGGAUCAGCCACGGGACGAUCAUCCGACUCUUCUCAUCAUGAAUUUCGUCUUUCUUUCUUUUGCAGAGAAACUGGUUACAAAAUUGGGUGAGUCCAACCUCCCAAAUUCAAUAAAAAGUAGUCCGACUUUGUGGGAUGAGAUGUUCCUCUCAUCAUGUGCUGCUUUCCUUUUACUUCUCCAGAGGAACACUGUAAUCAGAUGGGUGAGUCUCCCCUCCCAAAUUAAAAAUGUUGGGGUCUUCCUGUGUGAGCUGUGGGAUGAGCUGUUCCUCUCAUCGUGCACUGUUUCUGCUUUUCCUUUGCAGAGAGAAGGAAUGUAAAGUCGGGUGAGUCUUCUUCCCCAACCAUAGAUUCAGGGACUUCCACAGGAUCAGCCAUGGGAUGAUAACCUGAACCUUAUCAUGUGUUUCUUAUUUGUUCCUUUUGCAGAGGCAGCAGCUGUAAAAGUGGGUGAGUCCUCCCUCCCAAAUUAAAUACAAAAGGGGAUCUGCCUGUGUGAGCUGUGGGAUGAGAUGUUCCUCUCAUCACACAUUGUUUUUCUUUUCCAGGGCAACAAGCUAAAGAAUCAGAGAAACAGAAAUCGGAGCUGAGUAAGUUGCAGUCACUGAAGUGAGGGAAUUGGGGGUCCUUUCAAGGGACUGCGUAUGGGAUGAAAAAUCCCCUCUGACCAUGCACUGCUUUUCUCCUCCUUUGCCAGAGGAGCGCCAUGAGGAGAUGGGUGAGUCUCCCCUCCCAUAUUAAAAUCGUUGGGGUCUUCCUGUGUGAGCUGUGGGAUGAGAUAUUCCUCUCAUCGUGCGGUGCUUUUCUCUCUUUCCCAGCAGAACAAACUGAAGCGUGGGUGAGUCUUUGUCCCAAACCAAAGGAAUAUGGGGCAAUCCAUGAGAUGACAAGCUGUCCCAUCUCAUCGUGCAUUGCUCUUCUAUUCCUUUUUUCCAGUGGUAGAUACUGAAGAAUCAGAAAAACCAUCUGAAGAAUUGGAUUGAGAGAUGAACUGCGCCUCACAGUAACCACAGGAGUUAAGCUUCAUACAUCAAUAACUACACAGCAUAAAAAACCACGAUUCCACAAACAGAGCAAGGAAAUCCACAGCGAGAACAAGAGGAGCCAGUGUUUGUGUUGAGUGAGAACACUGCAGUUCUGUGAGCCAAAGCUGCCUGAGGGAUCGCCGAACUGAGGGUGUGUGACCUCCAACUCAAAGCCAAUUGGAAGAAAGAAACCAUAGAAAGGAAAAAAAGGGGAGGAAGACAGAGAUCCUGGAAGAGAUAUGGGCAUUUGGGGAAAUAGUGUGACCAUGUAUCAGGCUUUGUGGACAUCUAAUGAGUAUGUAAUGCUUAUGGAAGUAGAAGCAUGCACGCAGAAACAAAGGCAGAAAACUGCUUUGGGUGUUAGCACUGUUCUCUGUCACAAUAUAAUAAAGAAUACCUGCUGAUGGCAAUGGAUCAUUGAUUGUGAUCAGUUAUUGGGGUUUGGUUCCAUGAAACAGCCUGAGUUUUCAUCCCGGAACUAAAGCAACGUGGGCUCUAUCGGAUAAGAAGCUGACCCUUCUCACCAGCACUGCUAGUCCCGCACAACAAGGCUCUCUCCA